rnacentral:rRNA from 1 species
UACGAAAGGAGCAGGUGUUAUUCAGAUUAACUGGGCGUAAAGGGCUCGUAGGCGGCCAACUAAGUCGGAUGUGAAAUCCCCAGGCUCAACUUGGGAACUGCAUCCGAUACUGGAUGGCUUGAAUUCGGGAGAGGGAUGCAGAAUUCCAGGUGUAGCGGUGAAAUGCGUAGAUAUCUGGAGGAAUACCGGUGGCGAAGGCGGCAUCCUGGACCGACAUUGACGCUGAGGCGCGAAAGCUAGGGGAGCAAACAGG